rnacentral:rRNA from 1 species
GUCGAGAAUCUUUCACAAUGGGGGCAACCCUGAUGGAGCGACGCCGCGUGGAGGAUAAGGUCUUCGGAUUGUAAACUCCUGUCAUGCGUGAACAAGGUUGCUUGGUUAAUACCUGGGCAAAUUGAUGAUAACGCAAGAGGAAGAGACGGCUAACUCUGUGCCAGCAGCCGCGGUAAUACAGAGGUCUCAAGCGUUGUUCGGAAUCACUGGGCGUAAAGGGUGCGUAGGUGGCGUGGUAAGUCAGAUGUGAACGCCCGGGGCUCAACCUCGGAACUGCAUCCGAUACUGCCAUGCUAGAGUACUGGAGAGGUGACUAGAAUUCUCGGUGUAGCAGUGAAAUGCGUAGAUAUCGAGAGGAAUACCAAAGGCGUAGGCAGGUCACUGGACAGUUACUGACACUGAGGCACGAAGGCCAGGGGAGCGAACGGGAUUAGAAACCCUGGUAGUCC